GACGAACGCUGUCGGCGUGCUUAACACAUGCAAGUCGAACGGAAAGGCCCUGCUUUUGUGGGGUGCUCGAGUGGCGAACGGGUGAGUAACACGUGAGUAACCUGCCCUUGACUUUGGGAUAACUUCAGGAAACUGGGGCUAAUACCGGAUAGGAGCUCCUGCUGCAUGGUGGGGGUUGGAAAGUUUCGGCGGUUGGGGAUGGACUCGCGGCUUAUCAGCUUGUUGGUGGGGUAGUGGCUUACCAAGGCUUUGACGGGUAGCCGGCCUGAGAGGGUGACCGGCCACAUUGGGACUGAGAUACGGCCCAGACUCCUACGGGAGGCAGCAGUGGGGAAUAUUGCACAAUGGGCGGAAGCCUGAUGCAGCAACGCCGCGCGCGGGAUGACGGCCUUCGGGUUGUAAACCGCUUUCGCCUGUGACGAAGCGUGAGUGACGGUAAUGGGUAAAGAAGCACCGGCUAACUACGUGCCAGCAGCCGCGGUGAUACGUAGGGUGCGAGCGUUGUCCGGAUUUAUUGGGCGUAAAGGGCUCGUAGGUGGUUGAUCGCGUCGGAAGUGUAAUCUUGGGGCUUAACCCUGAGCGUGCUUUCGAUACGGGUUGACUUGAGGAAGGUAGGGGAGAAUGGAAUUCCUGGUGGAGCGGUGGAAUGCGCAGAUAUCAGGAGGAACACCAGUGGCGAAGGCGGUUCUCUGGGCCUUUCCUGACGCUGAGGAGCGAAAGCGUGGGGAGCGAACAGGCUUAGAUACCCUGGUAGUCCACGCUGUAAACGGUGGGUACUAGGUGUGGGGUCCAUUCCACGGGUUCCGUGCCGUAGCUAACGCUUUAAGUACCCCGCCUGGGGAGUACGGCCGCAAGGCUAAAACUCAAAGGAAUUGACGGGGCCCCGCACAAGCGGCGGAGCAUGCGGAUUAAUUCGAUGCAACGCGUAGAACCUUACCUGGGUUUGACAUGGAUCGGGAGUGCUCAGAGAUGGGUGUGCCUCUUUUGGGGUCGGUUCACAGGUGGUGCAUGCCUGUCGUCAGCUCGUGUCGUGAGAUGUUGGGUUAAGUCCCGCAACGAGCGCAACCCUUGUUCACUGUUGCCAGCACGUUAUGGUGGGGACUCAGUGGAGACCGCCGGGGUCAACUCGGAGGAAGGUGGGGAUGACGUCAAGUCCUCAUGCCCCUUAUGUCCAGGGCUUCACGCAUGCUACAAUGGCUGGUACAGAGAGUGGCGAGCCUGUGAGGGUGAGCGAAUCUCGGAAAGCCGGUCUCAGUUCGGAUUGGGGUCUGCAACUCGACCUCAUGAAGUCGGAGUCGCUAGUAAUCGCAGAUCAGCAACGCUGCGGUGAAUACGUUCCCGGG
rnacentral:rRNA from 1 species